ACAAAUACCGGGUGAAUCAUUAGAACUGAGGACAGUUUGAAUUUCGCGCGUACAAUUCUAGUGUUUUUUACGUGAUUGAAUUGGCGAUGAUAUAUUUUUAGUUAUUUUACUACUUCAUAUUAGUCACCAGUGCCGUCGUUAUUUCGUUAAUUUGUUGUUGUUUUUAAUUUACUUUUGCAAACUGUAUUAUCAACGUUCUUAAAAACAGUUCUUUUCAGAGCUACGCUGUAAAUUCAAGAGUUUGUUGAAGUUCUUGAGGAUGCCCUUCACACAAGAACAAGAUGCCUUUAUUUUGAAGGCUCAUUUUGGAAGUGCUGUACGUAAUGAAGAUGGAACGUGGUCAUAUUCGUUCCGGUCCUGUCGAGAGCAAUUUAUGGAAGAGUAUCCCGAUGUUAUUAUUUCUUAUAAAGCAUUUGCCAAUCAUAAGACACGAAUUGUGGACCGAUUUGAAAACAAGAAUUGCAUUUGUAAAGAAAAACAUACCGGUCGUCCAUUACUACGAAACGAUGAAGUGGUCCAAGAUGUCAGACAACGAAUGGAGGCGAGUCCCAAAAAGUCAAUCCGUCAGUUAAGUGCCCAAGCUGGAGUGUCUUAUUCAACAUACUCUUGAUGAACUACGAGCAGCAAUUAUUGAGGAACUAGAAAGAAUUUCACCUGAAACUCUGGAGAAAGUGUUUGACAAUAUGAAGCGUAGAGAGGAAUUGUGCCGUGAACACAAUGGUGGACAUUUUGAGCAAUUUUUAUAGUUCAUUUAAUACAAUUUUAAUAUCGUGACUGUGCUUAGUGCAAAUGUAAAAUUUGUUGUAAAAUGGGAGACUUAUUUGUAAAUUAAAAAUAAAUUAUUACCCUUGGAAAGUGAUUCUACAUACACCACUGGAAUUAGACAAAUGAUAUUCUGUUAUUACCAACCUUUAAAAUUUUUAGUUUUGCGGGACAUUCAAACUGU